rnacentral:rRNA from 1 species
UUUUGGGACGAUAAAAAGGGGACCCAUCUGCGACUCUUGGUGAAAAUCCCAGCCCACUUUGACCUCUUUUUUUUAAAACCCACUUUGCGCCCUGGGGUUCUCCCGGGGGCCACGUCUGUCUGAGG